UCAACAAAAGUGCCAGUGUGGACAGCAAUAUGUCAGCAGGAGAUACUCUCCUGCUGACAUAGCUAAUGCCACUCAUUGGGGUGGCUUAAUUAUGCCGGCAGAAGAGCUCUCUCCCACCGGCACAUAACAGCUACACAGGACACCUUACAGCGGCCCAGCUUUUCAUAUAUACAUAGCC